UCUUUAACGAUUUCUAAAUGUUCUCAGAUUUACAUACUUUCCCACAACCACCUCCAGGCUCAAAACAAUUGAGCCUGCAUAUGGAUGAAGGUUUACUGAUGUCAUGCACAGGUUAAAGGGAGACAACAGAAUGCAAGCUCUUUUGUACUUAACAGAUCGCAGUUUCAAAAACUCAACUUUAAAAAACGGUGUAAGUCUAUGGUGACGCCAUUUAAAAGAUUGCUUCUGCUGUGGAUUCAGGGAACCAUGGAGAAUCAUGGAGAAACUGAGCACAUCAAGUAAUCAACAAAACAAAUUAAGAGAUGUAAUAAGACAUUUAAUGAGAAGCAAGGCAAAGCAACGAAGAAUAAAUGACAGACUACAAAGUUGUUCAGGACAACAGAAGGACUUUGAAGUUGAGCUUCAGAAUUUCAGAAGUUGAUGGGAGUGCACGAUAAUGGGAUGAAUGCAGCAUGCAAGGAAAACCAACUGGCUAUCGGCUUCGAAACAAAAUGUAGAGGUUCCUCACUAACCCAAGAUUUCAACACAAGGGACAGAAGUGUGUUCCACUAACAGCAGCAGCAUGAAUGCAGAGAUGGGCUCUGUUUCUUGGAGGACACAGUUCCAAAGUUGAAUUCAAAAGGAUGACUGAUCAUGGAAAUGCUGUUGGAUUGUCCAGUUUCACAGCCACAAGUCUCACCUGUUAAGUGUGACCUGUUUUGUCAGGAAAGAUGUCAUCCCACAAGAGUAAGAAAUCCUACACAGCAAUUAAAUCUUUUAGGCCUGAAUGGGGCCAUUUAAAAUUUAAUAUGUUGUGAAUGUCUGUAUAUAGUAGCCAUAUUACACAGUAUACUGUAUAUGUAAUUGAGAUACAUUCUCUGUUGAGUUGGGCUUUAUAAUUAAGCAGGGAAGAGUGUUGUGUAUUUAAUAUCUCAGUAAUAUUUGAGUAAUAUUGUAAAUAUAUUGUUUGAUUAAACAUUCUUGGUCAUUUAAACAAUUCAUUAUGAGUUGCAUGUAUAAAUGCGUGAAGUGCAUAUGGCAUCAGAUUCCCAUGUGAUACUUGCACGCCUCACUUAAAGUAACCACAAAGUUAGACUCACAUUUCAGACUCCCAUGUCUUCCUUUGAAUUAUUUUAAUGUUUUGAAGUUACAAAAUAUAACAACUGGAUGUUUGGGAGGUGUUAUCAGAGUGGUCUAGGCCAGUGAGUUAGGUUUAUUUUAUUGAUGUGGGUGGUACAGUGAAUGAUUAUUUAAUGUGUUUGACAUAAUAGCAAUGAAUUAGACUAUUCUUUUCAUCAAUUGUGAUAAGCUUCUUGUAUGGUGAAAUAGUUACACUCACCUUACUCAUUUUGCUUGUGCAGGUGGGAUAUCCAGCCUUUGACUUAUUCUUGUAGUUGCAAUAUUUAUAUUGCUUAUUCAAUUAUAUAGUUGAAGUCAGUGGCAGGUAUACAGACUCUACUUUGUGGAGUUGGGCAAUAUCUAACAUUUGUAUUGCAGAAAUAUUUACUUUCCUCUUAUCAGUCCCUCUUGGUCUUCUCCUGGUGCUCCCUUGACAUAGAAGUCAAUCUUUAAUCAACUUCACUCACCUUGUAUAAUAUCAAGAAACAACAGAUUGCAUUGAAUUGAUUAUGUAGUUCUACAAAACAAUCUGCUCCAUUGUGGUUACAAAGGGACAAUGUAAAAUUUCCCUGGGUGCAUUUAUCAAGCUGCAUUUGGAAAUUCAGUCCAUCAUUAAUCAUCAGCACAGCAAAGGAAUAUCACAUUGACUGUGCUAUCAAGUAGCUCUUACGGACAAAUGGGCAGCUCAUUGACACUUUGUUUUGGUUCUGUUACAACAUGACUCCAGAUCUCAUUACAGCCAGCCCAAAACUUGACAGAACAAUUAAAAGCAAAGGCGAAUAAAGAUAUAUCAAAACAGCAUUUCACCAGAAAAGCAGUAAAAUUGAAGUCAAUGGAAAGAAAAAGGGGGGAAAAACUGCAGUGGCUGAAGUCGUUACAAGUUCAGAGUAAGAUUGAAAGCCAGUCAUCACAGUCCUCAGCUUUCACACAGAAGUUCCAUGGAACAGUUUACUCCUCCUGAACUUCCUUUCGUCAGAAGAUAAGAAAUGAGUAUACCAGUGUUCAAUUCAUUUCACAAACUAUAUACCCCCAUGCAGCACAAUCUAUUCAACAUUUGUAUUUGGGGUAAUUAGUGGCACGUAACAUUGAUGCCACACAAGCGCCAGUCUCUAAUUGACACUAGUCAUUUAAACAAUUUUAAUUUCACCAAAUUUCCAACAUACUGUGGGGUGGAGGGAGGGGAUGGAUUUACCACAGACAUGAAUCUUGACUGGACUAGCCAUAUCAGUACUGUGGCUACAAAAAUAAGAAUAGGUACCCAGUGGUGAAUGACUCACUUUCUGACUCAGUGCAAAUCUAAAAAUCCUGAGUUAAAACUAUGAUUCCAAUAACAUUCAAGAAGCUCAACCCCACUCAUAAGAAAUUACUCACAUGAUUGACACCACAUUUGUGGCUGCAAGACUUCACUCUGUCCAUCAGUGUCACUGUGGCCAUCUCCAAUUGUACUGUAGCAACCCACUGAGCUCUCAUUGACAGAACUUCCAAAGCUCUUGCCUCUAACAUGUGGAAGGACGAAGAGAGCAGCUGCAUUGCCUCCACCAACGUUAUCUUCUGUCAAACAUAACCCUAAAUGGAAAACGUAUCAGUUGAGGUUUCUUUAAUGAUGCCGGGUCAAAAUUCUGCAACUUCCUAAUAAACAGCAUUGUGGGAAUACUUUCAUCAAUAGAACUGCACUGGUAUUUUAGUCUUCUGAAGGACAAUUAGGAAUGGAUAUUAAAUGCUUGCCUUAUCAGUGGGGUAAUAUCUUGUGAGUACAAAGAAAAGCACUUGAAACCAUUGGAUUAAUUUUGUGGAUUUGAGCAGUCACUGUAAAGCUAUAGCCUUGUUGGCAGCUGAGAGCUAAACAAACAGUGAAAAAUAUAUUGACACUUUUGAAGCAUUUUAUUGGAGGUAGUUGCUCAUAACAACAGGACUUUUUUUGCUCGGCCUGAUGAACUCGGCCCAAAACAUCGACUGUUUACUCUUGUGCCUCGAUGCUGCCUGGCCGUGUGUUGCCAGGAGUAGUUCCCUUGUUGUCUUCAAAUAAGAGUCUGGGGAUCUUUAAUAUUCACCAGAGGAACCAUGAAGGGCCAGAAAUACAGCAUGACUGACAAAGUACACCUAAGUCCUGCACUUAAGCAUCAGCUUAAAUGUUGGUUCUUUCUGUCGAAUCCUGAUCCUUCUGAUUCAAAGGGAGAACAACUUCAGCACAGCUGAAACCUUAAAGCAAGAGACAUCUUGCAAAAGUUUCCUGUUAAAAGAUAACCACUAAUAACACCCAAACCACACGGUGGGAAACCAAUCAGAUCAAUAUAUUAUUUAAAGCAAUGGUUUUCAAUGUGGGCUAUAUGGCACUCGGGUGGCCGUGCCGGGUUUUGUAGGGGCCACAAGUAAAAAAUAAGAAACUGGGUGCCAGCCACAGGAGGUUCUGAACAGGCCAUGAUAAGUCAGAAUCAGAAUCAGGUUUAUUAUCACCGGCUUGUGAUGUGAAAUUUGUUAACUUAGCAUCAGCAGUUCAAUGCAUUACAUAAUCUAGCAGAGAGAAAAAAAUAACAUAAAAAUAAUAAUAAUAAAUAAACAAAUAAAUCAAUUACCUAUAUUGAAUAGAUUUUUUAAACAUCUAAAAACAGAAAUACUGUAUAUUAAAUAAAAGUGAGGUAGUGUCCAAAGCUUCAAUGUCCAUUUAGGAAUCGGAUGGCAGAGGGGAAGAAGCUGAGUGUGUGCCUUCAGGCCUCUGUACCCCCUGCCUGAUGGUAAAAGUGAGAAAAGGGCAUGCCCUUGGUGCUGGGGGUAAUUAAUAAUGGACACUGCCUUUCUGAGACUCCGCUCCUCAAAGUUUACUGUUUUAAUGAAAUAUUACUAAAAUAUAUAAACAAAAAAUGAAUAUAUAUAAUUUAUUUGGAACUCUAAAUGUAAUGAAUGAGAAAAUAUGCUAUAUGGUUCAAAUGAAGUAGCAAAACAGCUGUGUGUGUGUGUGUGUGUGUGUGUGUGUGUGUGUGUGUGUGUGUGUGUGUGGGUGGCUGUCAAUCAUUAUCUCUGCUCCUGUUUGAUCACGCACAAAUCACGUUCACACCCUGCAGGACGAUUCACUGAGUCCCACUCCACAUCCAACCCCAAAUCACAAACUACAGCUUGGGUGGGGUUCGCUGCAGCAGGAGGCUGGAACUGUUUGCCUUCCACUGACCCGUGCCCGUUAUAAUACUUAGAAAACAUGACAUGACUGUUUUUGCAGAAGGUUGUCUGCCAGAAACGGCUAAACUGCAGAGAGAUGAGAGCACAUGAAGUCUGCCACUGCAUCACUAAAUUCCGCUGCAACUUGCAUUAAAUCCCUGAUACUUAUAUUUUGAAAUGUAUCCCCCUCCUCUUCCCUCCCGAGAAUCGCCCCCUGUUGACCAUGUUAUCAAUCACAAAGAGCCGGCUCUCCAUCCAUCGCCGGGACGGUCAGAGGGAUUUCACCGAAUUCACUCCCGGACUUUUUGACUGAUCACUGGGGGAAAUCAACGAAAACCAAGAAACGAUGAGCACUUCGACAGCUGGGUACCGUGAGCGCGCAGCAUGUUUAUUUCCUUGAAUUAACAUUCAUUUCCAUUCAGGAUUUUAAAGGAACUUGCAGACUUUGCUGGAGCAAAAAGGAAUGAAACCAGGCACUGAAUGUCUGAUACUCAUCUCAGGUUCUUUCACUGAACUUUUUAAGUACCAGCAAGCUUUGGAUUACUGUGAACUACCUAACUAGCAUAUCAGAUCAAUCGGGAGCCGAUGCCUUCUACUAGGCUAUAUUCACACAUGUAACAACUGACCUCUGUGGGGUUGGAUCCUUGAAAAGAGACAGGAAAGAAUUCAGCAUGCUGUGCACUUCAGCUCUUUUAAAAAAAAUGCACAAAAGCACAGCCCUCUCAAUCAUAUCACAGAACAUGACCAUUGUGAUUAAGGAUGUGUGGCAAUUGCUUGUUUUUCUACAAUGUAAUCCCGGCUGUGAAAGUAGCUGUUUCUCAUUUGCCUGAGGAGAUAGAGUACACCACUGGCAGAUUAAGAUUCGCAGUUACAAGAGAGAUCUUUGUCUUUUGUUAAUGUACCUUGAUUCAGAUUUUGUUCAUUUAGAUUAGUGCAUUUGGUAUAAGUACCAAAUAAGCAAUCAUUCUCUGGGCAAUAUCCUUGAAUAUUAUAUCAAGCAGUAGUAAAUCAAGAUACCUGGACUUGCUGUGUUUAGAAGAAGUUUUGAAACUCAUCCACGAGGCUUCUUCAGUUCUAAUCCAUAGUAGGUAGUUUUCUGGUUUAUAAACUGUGAGUUGUUUAAAGGUAUAGCAAUCACAUGAGGGUCAUUAAGAGGUAAUGAGAGGGUCAUUACUGGUAUCUUUGCAUGAAUGGAGGUGUGAAUUGUUGUGGAUAGAUGUUAGGAUUGCAUUGUGAUAGAUUAUGUCAUGCCCCACCCCCACUGUUCAGGGAUGAGUUUUCCAGUUUGACAAAGAUGACUUCUCUAAUCCCUCUUUCAAACCACCUGCCCUCCCUGUCCAAAACGUGCACAUUGUUAUCGUGGAUGGUGUGUUCCUUGUCCUUUUGGGGUAGAUACACAGCUGAGUCUUGACCUGAGGUGUUCAUCCUCCUGUGUUGGGCCAUUGUUUGUGAAGUGGUUGUUUUGUCUCACUGAUAUACAGAUCUGUGGAGUUCUCAUUGCAUUGGAUAGCAUAUACAAUAUUGCUCUGUUUAUGUUUGGGUGUAGGAUCCACAGGGUGGAUGAGUUUCUGUCUGAGUGUGUUUGUAGGUUUGAAAAAACACAGGGAUUUGGUGUUUGUUGAAAAUCCUUCUGGGUUUCUCUGAACCUACAGAUAAAUAUGGGAUGACAGUGUUUUUCCGUCUGCUUUGCUCCUUACACCUCUGUCUGUUGGGCUGAUGGGCCUGCUGGCUUUUGCUGCUGUCUUGGUAAAGGCCCACACAGGAUAGCCACAAGCUUUCAAGGCUUCUCUCUCAAAUAUGUGCACUCCUUGCCUUUAGCUGUAAUGUUGGUGGGUGCAGUGAUGUAGUGUUCUGAUAACCCCAAUGUGUUUUAAUGGGUGAUGAGAGUCAAACUGCAGAUACUGAUCUGUGUGGGUUGGUUUCUUGUAAACUUCAAUAUCUAAAUGUCCAUUUUCUUUGAUAAGUCUAAAAAGUCCAGUCUAUUGUUCUUGACAUCUUCAUGUAAAUUUGAUGUUAAUAUCCACUGUUGAUGUGUUCUGUGAAGGCUUGCACCUCAUGGAUUUUGAUCUUGACCCAGGUGUCAUCCACAUACCUGAACCACUAACUGAGUGAUAUUUCAUGAAAGGUAUUCAAGGCAUGUACAAGUUGGCUACAAUAGGAGACACCAGUGAACCCAUGGUGCAACCGUGUUUCUGCCUGUAGAAGACAUCUUUGUAUUUGAAAUAGGUAGUGUUGAGACAAAGGUUGAGUUGAGUGUGGUUCUACUGUCCAGGGUACCAUCCUGACAUAGCCGUUUUCUUACUGUCUUGAUAGCUUCUGAGUAUAGACAUAACAUCAUAUGAUGUCAUAGUCUCAUCUGUAUUUGGCUUUAGAUGCCGAACUUUCCCAACAAAGUCCUUGGAAUUUUGGAUGUGGUGUGAAGUGUUGUCAACCAAAGGGAUGAGAAUGGUAGUAAGGUAUUUCGCAAUGUUGUAAAGUAAUGCUGCUCAUAAUUGGCCUGAGAGGAACUUCUGGCUUGAGGAUCUUGGAGAGUCCAUAUAAGGAUGGGAUGGCUUCUCUAGGAUAGAGGUGAUGAUAUAAGGCCUGAUCAAUGACUUUGCUUUUAUCUAAAUAUCACAAACCAUCUAUGAUCUUCUUGUAGCUGCUGGCAGGAUCCCUCUUUGGUGCUUCGUAUGUUUUAGUAUCAUUAAGAAGUGUGUAUACUUUGUAGUGGUAACCUUCUGUGUUGAGACCUACCUUUGUCUGCUGGUUAGAUGGUGAUAUUGUGGUCCUUUCUGAGCGAUGUCAGUGCCCUCCUUUUUGUGAACUGAGGUUGGAUGGGGGUGCUUUGGCGCUAGCCAGGGCAGCAGAGAUUUUCACUCCGAGUUGUUCUGCUUCCAUUUCUGAUAUGUUGUUACUGUGGAUAGCUGAUUCUGUGGCUGUGAUGAGGUCCACGACUGGCACAUGUUGAGUAGUGACAACAAAGUUUAACCCUUUUGCAAGGACUUCAAUCUCUAGUUUGGUAAGUUCUCUGUCAGACUGGUUCCUUACCCACUUAUCCUUGUUAUUGUUUGUUGCCCCCUAUCAUCCUUCUGCCUUCAAUUAAUUCUUCUAUCUUCCUGUUAUUGCUGUUUCUAGUUGCUUUACUUUUAAACAACUGGGAGUUUAUCAGCUGGAAAACUACCCACCAUGGAUUAGAACUGAAGAAGCCUCUCGAAUGAGUGGCGAAAUGUCUUCCAGAUAACACAGCAAGUCCAGUUGCCUUAAUUUAGUCCUGCUUGAUAUACAAUGAUGUGUAUGACUGAGAACCUUCAUAGACACGUUGGAUAUUAUCUUCAUCUUUAAGUCUUUAACUUCCUCUUCAAUAAAAGGAUGUAUAUAACACAACUGGAAUCUCCCAAACAUUUUAAAGUUAAUAACCACAAACAUGUGUCUUGAAAACACCAUAAACUAAGUCAAACAUAACUAAAUGUGUAGUACUUUUUAAUGGAAUGCCAUUGCUCUGAAUAGUUCUCCAUGGUACUCCUUGAUAAGGGAAACCUUGUUGCAAACACUUUCCAUUUUUAAUGUUUAUUUAUCAUAGCAUAAACCUAAACGGGUCUCUUCCAGUCUCCGAAGAAAUUUUGAAGUGUCCUCUGUGCAGUGUCGGUAUGACCAGGAAAGAUUUAGACCUGGGUGAACUCAACAUUUACCAUAAAUUUGUUCAUUUGUUACAUGCUGGGUUGUAUGACAUGGGCAAUCAUGACUAUGAUUGUUCUUGGUAAUUUUUUCUACAGAAGCGGUUUGCCUUUGCCGCCUUCUCACCAGUGUCUUUACAAGAUGGGUGAAUCCAGCCAUUAUCAAUACUUUUCCGAAAUUGCCUGGCAUCAGUGGUCACAUAACCAGGAUUUCUGAUAGCCAUAAACUAAUAAAGUCAAUAACUGUCCUGCAAUCAAUUUAAGAUUUUUUUUCUUGUGCCCAAUUUUGAUGGAACACACCACACAUCUCUUUGCAAAACAUGUUGAUGGGAUAAUGAGAUAUAUUUCUAGCAACAUAACAGAAAGAAAAACAUAACUAGAAGUAGGAAACACUGGAAAGAUGCUGCCUGACCUGCAGUAUGUGCAGAGAAAAACAAAAUUAAUGUUCCUAGUUGAUGUUUGUCCAUCAGAACUGGGAAAAUAUGGAAACCAGGCAUGUUUUAAGUUGCAGAAAAGGUGGAGUGAUAGGGGAAAUAAAGGAAAUGUAUGUGAAAUGUGAACGCCAAGGGAAAACAGAUGACCCAUGUUGAUGCCUUGGCAAUGAUUGCUAGUUAAUGGCAGCCUACUUGUUUGGAGGAAAAUAAACAAACAAACAAACCAUGGUGACAAAGUAUCUUCAACUUGAAAAGUUGACUCUUGCUGUGAAUUGGUUAUGGAAAAACUAAUGCCCUCAAUAAACCAUGUUUGCAAAGUGUCUUAAAAUGGACUAGAGGGAGAGCUUACUGUCUAAGUUGGUUGUGAAUGGACUGAACAGUUGAAGUUCACCUACUCACCUUUGUACAAAUCAAUGAAGUUACUUUGAGAACACUGACAGGUACAGAAUAACCCAAUCUUUAAGUAAAGUCUGUAAUGCUGAAACAACAUUAUAUAUCUGGUUGCUGUAGAAACUGCUAGAUUGUACAAACGCUUUGGCUUUUACACUGGUAAGAAUGUUAUCUGGUAUUAAAAACAGCUUCCGUAGGCAUUCUUCUAUUAUGCAUUAAAUUUCAGCAAUGAUUCACCAUUUAGUGUGCAAUCUUUUCUCAGAGUGGUAAAACUUUCUGAUAUAUAUUUGAUCUAUGUAAUGUUUAGAAUUAUGAGUCUUUCACAGUGAAUGUUUCUGACUAAGUAAUAAUAAUAUUUUGACCUCUGGAAUACCAGUGGAAGCUAUAUAAUAAUUCCUGAAUUAAAUCUGGAGAAAGCAAGUGACUGCUAAGUAAAUAUUGGUGUAUUGAAAUAAACCACACCUGUAUCCUGACCACAUAACUCUGCCCUUUCAUGCACACUGAUGGUUAUAUUGGAAUGACUACUAUUACAAUGUAAUUGAAACAAAAGUACCCACCGGUGACACAAUUGUAAUGUCCCUUGAGUUUUGCUUUACUUUCUAGCUGUGAAAAUGUGAAGGGGUGGAGUGGUUGUAGCAUGUGUGCAGGCUAGAUGUGAUGGGUAGCAUGUAUGCAGGAUAAGGUUUCUCACACCCAAAUUUUUCAAUGGUUGGGGAGCAAAUUAUCAUCUCUCUGAAAAGAAGAUAUGUCAAGGCUUCUGUUACAAAAUGCAAUGUGUUCUUCAAAGAUCUUUUAAGUGUUUUGUGUUCAAGUCUGUUUUGUAAAGCAGUGCGUUGCCCUGUGAAGUGUCACAUGAUUUCCCCACCAGCUGACAGAUGAGGUCACGUAGAACAGUACAGUACAUCAUUGGAAUUGCUUGUUAUGUAACUUUUAAUUUUCAUUUCUAUUAUACUUAUUAAUUUUAGUUGUUCAAUAUUAGAUUGUGUAACUGAAGCAUAUUUCAUACUAAGUCUAUACAAAGCAAUACAUUAUGAAGAAGUCGGUAAAAGUUCUGUAUCUUGCCAACAGGGAAUAAAUAAACAAAACCAGUCUUUCUGACAGAUGCACAACUUUAGUUUCUAAAUUUACAUAUUAACAUGGCUGAGAGUAAGAAAGUCACUGUCAGUGUCUUAAGUUACAUGAUAAAUAGAGCUCUGAGGAUCGUAAUGGUACUUAUUAAGGAUGAUUUAAAUAAUAUGCCUCUGUUCAGAUGAGGCAAUGUAAUGUGUGCUUGGUUUCAGUUUAAGUAUUAUGUGCAAAAGGAAAGGCAAUCGGGGAGGUUCAAUUUAAACCUUCAAGCAAAGGAUUCACACUUCUUUGUCACAGUUGUCCUUGUCUUAGGCUGUUAUUGUGUAACGAGCAAGAGAAAGUCAAUGAAACAUUGUCAAAUUUUGAAACAUAACUUCAUGCUUGGGAUAUCAGAGAUAAUUUAUGAAUAGUACACUUUCAGGUGACAAUUUUCAACAAAAUAAAAUUGUAGUCAGCUUUAUAACUCAUGUAUAUUAAAAUUAAUACCACUAGAGUUAUCAGUUAUCUCAUCUUCUUAGGGACAAAAUUCAGUAAAAAGCAAUUCUUUAAAAAAAAAUCUGUCAUUUGACAAUUGACUUUGAAUAUUUGCCUUCAGCUUUCCUGAUAAGUAUGUACCUCCCCCACAAGAAGAGAGAUGGUGAAACUAUAGCUGAUCAUUUUCUUGUAGCCACUAACACAUUAAGAAUGUUGUCACAUAAUUUUUCAAUAAACAGUAGAUCACAGCUCUAGCCAAAUUGAAGUUACUCAGAUAUGCAAUCGACAUGAUCAUAGUGAUGGUCUGUACUCCAUAUUUGCUGAACUUACCUGUUUAAUACAAGUCAUAACAAUAUACUGUAAUUUGACAUUAAUAUUAUUUGUCUUGGCCAUGUCUAAUUUCACCAGUGAUGCACUUUGUCUCCCAAUUUUCACGCGUAAUGCUUUGAUGGCACUCCUUCAUGUUGACACUAACACUGAAACUCUUACGUAUUCAUGAUCAUCAUAUUUAAUUUCUCAAAAGAUGUUCUUACUCCACGACCACUUUAUUAGGUACCGAAGUGGAACCUGAUGUGAUUGUCUUCUAUAGCCCACCCACUUUAGGGUUUGACAUGUUGUGCAUUCAGAGAUGCUCUUCUGCACACCACUGUUUUGUUGUUCCUCUCCAUGCCUUGUGAUGCAUGGGGAGGCAACUGUUCCCUUAGCAUUUAUCUUUUUUUUAACGAGGCCGAGUUGCUAGCUUGAAGCUCAACCCAGUACAGAUAGAAGGCAUAGAAGAAGCUGGCUGGAUUCAAACCUAGGGGUUCUCGCCUUCAAGUCUGGUGCAGAUGCCACUACACCACCAGCUGGCACAACACUGUUAUUUGACUUACUGUCACCUUCCUGUCAGCUUGAACCAGUCUGGGGAUUCUCCUCUGACCUCUCUCAAUAACAAAGCAUUUUCAUCCACAGAAAUGCCGCUCACUGGUUGUUUUUUUUUGUUUUUCACGCCAUUCUCUGCAAACUCUAGAGACUGUUGUGCAUGAAAAUCCCAGGAGAUAAGCAGUUUCUGAGAUACUCAAACCACCCUGUCUAGCACCAAGUGGAAGUCACUUGGAUCGCAUUUCUUCCACAUUCUGAUAUUUGGUCUGAAUAACUUGAACAUGCCUGCAUGCAUUGAGCUGGCUGAUUAGAUAUUUGCAUUGGUGAGCAGGUGUACAGGUGUAACUAAUAAAGUGGCUACUGAGAGUAUGCUAACAGAAGAAAUCUGUUGGUAUCAACAUUGCAGAAAUUAUUUUCCCUGAUGAAUUGGUCCAUAUGGUGUUCUGUAUCCAGCCGUUUACCAAUUUCCCAGGAGGAGAGAUCCCAAAUGAUUUUUAUGUUUUCCACCAGGUGAGGGAAUGAAAGGGAUUCAGAGAGAGAUUGUAAAAAAAGAAAAAAAUCCAUUUCAACAUACAAAAUCCUGGAGGAACUCAGCAGGCCAGGCAGCAUCUCUGGAGAAGUAUAAACAGCCAACAUUUUGGGCCGAGACCAUUUGGUUUGCUCAGCAGUUGACUAAGUGUUACUUUGACAGAAUGUAUGAAUACACCACUUAUCUUCUUGUUUAUGUAAAAAGAAACUCAUUGGAGCACCUAAGGAUAUUUUAUCUGUCUCUUAAUUGCAUCUAUUCCCUCCAAAGAUGCAGCUCAAGCAGCCUGGCAUUGAAUUCUGCUAAGCCACAAUGGCUUGGUCUAUGUUACAACUACACCUUGGUUUAUAUGGAGUGCUGAUUGGUUCAUUGGCUGAUUGGCCCUAUUGGUAGAUAUACAGGAGAUAUGAGUUGGCAAUGUGCCUCCUGAACCACUUUCUUCUUCCAAUAUUAUUCCAAAUGUGAGUAAAUGUGGAGAGACUCAGAAUUGGAAAUUAUGGAUGAUAAAUUGAUUAGAGGUCCUGUAAAGACAUUUUUUUUUUGAAAACUUUUGUAUUGCAUUUUUAAGUAAUUACAGAGUAAAGUAUGAAAAAAUGUAUAUAACCCUUCCCCCCUCCCCUUAACCCCUCCCCCCUAACUACCCUAUAUAAAAAAAAGAGAAAGAAAGAGAAAAAAAAAGAAAGAUUGCCUGGUUGUUGGAAGAUCCCCACAUGCUCCAUGGAGUUCGUAAUAACUUUAGUAUAUAUAUUUAUUUCUUUCCCCAAAUAACCAAUUGUUUCAUCUUCAGAGCAUCUAUAUAUUUAGUCCUGUCUUUUGUAAAUAAGGGCUCCAAAUUUUCAGAAAUGUUUCAUAUUUAUCUCUUAAAUUAUAAGUAUUUUUUUAAUGGAAUACAGUCAUAGAUUUCUUUCUUCCAAGAGUCUAUACUUAAAUAUGUAUCCGAUUUCCAAGUAACUGCAAUAGCUUUUUUGGCUACUGCCAGUGCAAUUUUUAUGAAUUCUUUCUGAUAUUUAUUUAGUUUGAGUUUCGGUUUUAUCCCUUGUAAAGAUAUUAUUGAAUUAAGUUGGAUAUUUAUGAAUUGGUGUUGGUUAAUGCAAGGAAGAUACCAAGAAUCAUAAUGAGUAGAAAAAGUCAAUACAAUCAACACAGUCAUCACAGCAAUAGUUGUAAUCUUUCAUCUCACCAGUCAGUGUUGGCUGACUAAACAGAUCGUUAAUCAGAUUGAUAAAUUUUAUUGCCCUUCUCUUUUACCAGGCCCUUGCAAAUUAAUUGUCCUCAAGUGACAGUCUAAUUCCUCUUUGAAACCCUUAAUUCAAGCUAUUUCUACUAAUUGUAUGUGCAGUGAGUUUCAAGUCACUACCAGCUUUAGUACAAAAACUCCUUCACACAACACCCUGCCCCACAUCGUUGUGCCAUCACUUUGAAACUGGUCCAUGAACCAUUCCGUACUGGAUAUAGCUUUGCUUUGCCUACCCUUUCCAAGUCCAUCCUGAUCCACAACUCCAUUAAAUGUCCUCUCAAUCUUCUUUGCAACCACAUCUUUUGAACAAUAAGGGCAGUAAAUGAAAAAAAACAAAUGUAUGCUGUAGUGAGAAAAUAUCUGUUCUAAAACUAUCCAGAUGCCGCAGCAUUUAAUAUUAAAGACUCAUAAUACCGAACAUAAUCAAAAUGUUUGAAGAGCAUCCAAAAUAUUGACUAUUUGAAGAAUGUUCAAAUAUGAAAUUGUUUUUUUUACCUUUGCACCCAACAUCACAAUUCAGCACAAAAACAGAAUAAAAGCUCUAUUUUCUUCUGGCCAAUAAAGAUCAACAGCUGUUAAAAUACA